CUAAACAUUUAUUAAUCACUCACACAUAUCGGCACAUUCUCCGGGGUGCUCAUCAGUCUUUCGCGAGGCUGCAGGUUUGCAGUAAUGCAAAUCAUGGGUCGGUAGAAUGGGAUAUGUGGACGCCUAAC
rnacentral:sRNA from 1 species